rnacentral:rRNA from 1 species
UUAAAUUGAAGAGUUUGAUCAUGGCUCAGAUUGAACGCUGGCGGCAGGCCUAACACAUGCAAGUCGAGCGGAAACGACUUAACUGAACCUUCGGGGAACGUUAAGGGCGUCGAGCGGCGGACGGGU